UGGUCGGGAGGGCGUUGGCCAGCCGCUGUUCGUUCUCGUCGGACACCGACCACGCGGUCCUGGUCCGCCCCUGUCCGUC
rnacentral:tRNA from 1 species